rnacentral:rRNA from 1 species
UACGAAGGGGGCUAGCGUUGUUCGGAAUUACUGGGCGUAAAGCGCACGUAGGCGGAUCGAUCAGUCAGGGGUGAAAUCCCAGAGCUCAACUCUGGAACUGCCUUUGAUACUGUCGGUCUAGAGUAUGGAAGAGGUGAGUGGAAUUCCGAGUGUAGAGGUGAAAUUCGUAGAUAUUCGGAGGAACACCAGUGGCGAAGGCGGCUCACUGGUCCAUUACUGACGCUGAGGUGGCGAAAGCGUGGGGAG